rnacentral:tRNA from 1 species
GCCCAAGUGGCGCGGCAGGAUAGCGCGGUCGCCCCCGAAGCGACAGGCCGUCGGUUCGACUCCGGCCUUGGGCACCA